CCCAGAGAAAGACUGCUCCUUAGUGCCUUCUUUGGUAGGGUCUAAUACCACUCAGGAAUAUAGGGUGACCAUUGGCAGCAAAGAAAUCUUCCAGGUAAGCAUGGUGUCAGAUUAGAUGCAGCUCACUUCCCCUUCUC
rnacentral:lncRNA from 1 species